UCCUAGCAGCAUGUGGCCUAAAGUUGGAUCUGUAGUGCACACCUCAGACUUCAAGGGACUCCGAAGGCUGUAGGAGAGUCUCUAGUGCUUCACUGCAAUUCUUCAUUGGGAAGCGGGGAUAUCCUCCUGGCUGUGGACACCUCCCUCACCUCUCCGGUUACAUUUUAUGUGUUGGGGGGAGUGGCGCGGGAAGCUGGGUCUCCAGAACCGGUUGCUGAAACCACAAGGAGCAGCGAGCCCUAGAGGAUGCGGAGGAAAGAAGAACCUGGAAUGGAGGGAGCCUGAAAGUGAGAGCUCAGAGGAGGCCUGAAAAAGUUGUCUGGCAAGAUUUCUCUGAACUCGUGCAGAAGAAUAAAGCCGUAGGAACCAAUAGAAUACGGAACGAGCUGAGCAUGCAAGGCAGAGAGAGACCCAGACUGAAGUCCAGGAGUCCCACUCAAGCAAAGAGACAAGCUCACAGGAAGAGAACAUUCAAGGGAUGCCUCAGCUCGAGCAGAUACCAAUUAUCUCCUGAGUCAACACCCGGAGUCUCCACCGCCUGAUCUCUUUGCCUCCUGCUAUCUCUGCCUAUACCCUCAUCCCUCCAUCCUUCGUGUUUCACAAAGGACACUCCCCCUACCUGAAAGCCUUAAAAGCUGUAACUUUCACCCCAAUAAACAAGAUCUUGACAACAGAA